rnacentral:misc_RNA from 1 species
AUCAAAGGAUAUGCGUAUGACAAGGGCUUCACAUAAUUCUCUUAAAUAUAUCAUCAUUAUUGUAGAUGAACAUAGGGGAAAAAAAGAAACUGAUCAAAACACUCGGAUAUUCAUCUUGAAUAAUCUUGCUUAGUAGAGGGUAUUCAAGCAUCAAAAUGUUGACGAACCUCACCUAGAUUUCCGAAGUACAAAAUGUCGAUACCCAUCUACAAGUAACUAGUUUUGAGCCCCUUGAUCCAAAUGCUGCAUUCCAUCAAUUCUUCCUCCCUUCACAUAAGAUUAUGUGAUAUCCAUGAGUUGAUUUAAAUGGCGCACUGGUAGCUCCAACAGCCGUGCUGAAGGCAACUUCCUGGAAUGGACC